rnacentral:misc_RNA from 1 species
GCCCCACCGCCUCUGUUUCGCUAUUGCGGGAACGAUGACACAUUGGACAUUGUUUUCCCUGAUUGGUCCUUCUGGGGAUGGCCAGAGAUAAAUAUAAGACCCUGGAAUGAGGAGUUCCGAGAUAUUAAACAAGUUUCCAAAUCUCAAAGUUGGUCAAGGAAAUGGCCCCGUGCUUAUUGGAAAGGAAAUCCAGAUGUUCUGUCUCCUAUUCGUACAGAGUUAUUGCAAUGCAACCACUCUAGGAAGUGGGGGGCACACAUUUUGCGACAGGAUUGGGGAGAAGAAGCAAAAGCUGGUUUUGAGGGCUCCAAACUAUCAGAUCAGUGCAAGUACAGGUACAAAAUCUAUGCUGAAGGCUUUGCAUGGUCUGUGAGCUUGAAAUAUAUUAUAUCUUGCGGUUCCCUUGCACUAAUAAUAUCCCCACAAUAUGAAGAUUUCUUUAGUCGUGGACUUCUCCCUAAAAAGAACUAUUGGCCUGUCGCUCCCGACGAGUUAUGCCAGUCUAUAAAGUUUGCUGUCGACUGGGGCAAUGUAAACCCAUCUGAGGCUCAAGCAAUUGGAAAAAAUGGACAAGAUUUUAUGGAAACCUUAAGUAUGGAUCGAGUGUAUGAUUACAUGUUCCACCUCAUAACAGAGUACUCGAAGCUACAGGACUUCAAGCCUGUGCCAUCAUCUUCUGGUCUUGAAGUGUGUGUGGAUUCUGUUCUUUGCUUUGCUGACGAGAAGCAAAAGCAAUUCCUGGAAAGAUCAACAGCAUUUCCUUCGCCAAGCCCACCAUGCACCCUCCAACCCGCCAAUGGAAAUCUCAUUAAGAGCUGGUUACAACAGAAACAAAGAGUAAUUGAGGAUGUGAGAGCAAUGGAGAAACAGAAAGUGUGAAGAGAUGAUGCAGAUCGCCAAGUUUUUAAUUUUGAAAGUAAUAUAAUUUUGCAGGUUUAGAGUUGCGUGUAAUUUGUGCAUUAGAAAUUACCAUUUUACAGAUGAAAAGCAUAAGUUGAGGAGCAAAAGUCAUUGUUAUACAUAGUCAAUAGUCAAUUCUUCAUCUCAAGGCUAUUAACUUGUAGACGUGCAGUAUCAAAGGCUCCUAUGUCAUCACCCAAAUACUUAGGGAUGUUGAAUUAAUUUUUUAAUUUCUCUUAUUUAUUUUACACGUGCUUUAACUUUGGUUGUCCUAGUCUUUAGCUUAUGCAAUAGCUGUCAUUUGAUUUUGUUAAGUAGUUAAGUAGUGGAAGGACUUAGUGGUGUCCAUCUUUUACGCUUUUAUUGUUACAAAAGCUCUAUUUAAAAGGAGCUCAGUUAAUGUAAUGUGUGUGUUUUUUGAAUUGAAUAAAGACAGUUUUUCUCCACUUUGUUCAAAGUUUUUUAUCAGUGGUAUCAGAGCCCUGGUCAAAAAGGGCAGAAAAGAGUGCUUAAAAAGUGAAACACGUGAGUUUGGAGAGAAAAAAAAACUAAAGCAGCAGCUUUAUUUUUUCCAUGGCUUCAGAUUCUAAUUUUGUGCAGGCAGCGAUUCCUCGUUUUGAUGGUCACUAU